GUAAAUGAAAGUGUCAGGCUCGUGUGAGAUGCAUGGCUUUGACAAGAGCAGCCGCGGGGGUCUGCGCGCUGCAGGGCGGGCAAGGACCGCAGCGAGCGCCGCAGGACUCGGACCCACCCCAGUUUUUAAUUGCUGCCGUGAUGCAACCCGCAGCUCCCGGGACUGCAGCUCGUCACGGGGAGGACCAACUGCCUUGAGCCCGACUUGUUAUAGCUACAAAGAGCAUGAAAAAUGAAGCAUGAAGGAAAGCACAAGAUUAUGUUAAAUGAUGAGCAUC
rnacentral:lncRNA from 1 species